CCCAGUGAGCAAAUAGGGGAUGCAAAGGCUCUGCUGGACAUUACAACCACCUUGGUAAAAUAUGUGAGGUCCCAGUCAAGUUAAGGAAUCGCACCUUCUGACUUUAUAACAGCAUUGCUUAAGAAAUUUGGCAGCAAGCAAACAUUGGUUCUGAGCCUGUCUCAUUGCGCUAGGUUGAUGUUUGUCUUUCUGCUUCACAUGUCUUGAGGGCUGCGCCUGGAUGCUUUAUCAUGCUUGGACCCAUGGAUACAGAAGUAAAGCAGCGGAAGCUUUCGGCUGUUACUAGAAAAAGAAGUGCCAAGCCAACUGAAAAUACUUGUCCUAAAGAGGAUGCUAAAAGCAGUGAAGAACUGCAUGGCAGCUCGGCAACAUAUGGU